rnacentral:rRNA from 1 species
GACGAACGCUGGCGGCGUGCUUAACACAUGCAAGUCGAACGGUAAGGCCCUUCGGGGUACACGAGUGGCGAACGGGGGAGUAACACGUGGGUGAUCUGCCCUGCACUUCGGGAUAAGCCUGGGAAACUGGGUCUAAUACCGGAUAGGACUCCUGGCUUCAUGGUUGGGGGUGGAAAGCUUUUGCGGGGUGGGAUGGGCCCGCGGCCCAUCAGCUUGUGGGUGGGGUAAUGGCCUACCAAGGCGACGACGGGUAGCCGGCCUGGGAGGGUUACCUGCGACACUGGGACUGAGAUACGGCCCAGACUCCUACGGGAGGCAGCAGUGGGGAAUAUUGCACAAUGGGCGCCAGCCUGAUGCAGCGGCGCCGCGUGAGGGAUGACGGCCUUCGGGUUGUAAACCUCUUUCAGCUAGGACGAAGCGCAAGUGACGGUAGUAGCAGAAGAAGGAACGGCCAACUACGUGCCAGCCGCCGCCGUAACAC